UGGGGUAUAGCUCAAUGGUAGAGCAUUCGACUGCAGAUUGAGAGGUCCCAGAUUCAAACCCGGGUGUCCCCU